ensembl:lncRNA
CAGGCAAACACGAGCAACACGCUGCACAACGGGCAUGCAGCGGUGGAACCACUGUGGGUGAGGCGUGUACCGGAGUGGAGCUCCCAUGUGGCUUCACUCAAUGGUGACUGAACCAUAAGAACAGAGGGACAGAGGGCUGCACACCACGGGGACUCUGGGAUGGCUCAGCCUUCUCCUGGAGGACCGCUGCCUUGGUGUUGCAUAGAGAGCGGCUGAUGUUUUAAUCAUGGCCGCAGGGCUCAUUGUGAUGUGCAGCCACCUCUGGGGUCUCUAAUUGUCUCAGGCCAGGCUGGCUCUGCUGAUCACCCUACGUCUGGAAUGGCUAAUGACUCGCAGUGAGAGUCUAAUCAGGAGGAUCCCCAGGAAACCCAAACAACGCCACGUGUCCAGCCAGAGGACGGAUCGGGUUUCCUUUCGCCUCCAGCUCCGGCACGGACCCUCCUGGUUUGCCUGAAAGUGAUUCCUGCCGCCUCAGAUCAGCGGAAAGAUGUGAGAGUUUGACUGACAGGCGAGCUCUGCGUCCCUUUAAAUCGAGCCAGGCCUGAAAAUGGAGAUCUUACAAGGUGAAGUACACUCGGACAGGAGCAGCAGAUAUUCAGUUCUUCCCUGGAGAACCUGAUCCUUACCGGCCACUGAUGUCUCGUCAGUCCAGGAGAGUUGGAGGUGGUGGGGAACAACAAUCCAGGGAUGAUCCAUCCAGUGAUAGGGAUAGGACAAGUUGCCACGGCAACCCUGCCUCCUGAUCCCUCCGACCGGCUGGAGCUGGCAGAGAAUGAGAACAAGCGAGAGACAGACCGGAGGAGAGGAAAAGAGGAGGGGGGAGGCGAGGCGAGGCGAGGCGGCUUCGGAUGGCUGAAGCGCUGCCAGAGGUUUAGAAAACAGCUCAGUAAUGAACAGGAGGGACCGAGGGAUCGCAUAAGAAGCCAGAGUCUCCGGAGGGCCGACCUCCUAAUAGUUAGACCAUCUGAACCCUACGUGAACUGACAGACUGGUGACCUGUCCAGGGUGUCCAAUGCCUUCACCCUAAGUCAGCUGGGAUAGACUCCAGCCCCCCAGGAUGAGGAUUCAAU